AGCCCCUCCUUCUUGGCUUUGGAAUAAGGAAGUGACAAGUCUCAAAAUGUUCAUCUCUUGACCAGCCUUGACACAGCUGAUGGCAUGUGGGCCAACGGUGUUGACAAUUGGAGAGAAGAUUAUUGUGUUUUUGCUAUAUCAAAACAAUGUUCUGUUUGUACAGACAUUCAAAACAAUUUAACCAAAACAACGAAACAGCAUUGUGACGCAGACACAUUCAAAUUUUCAAGAUUAAACACUUGGAAGGAAAGGGUUAUUAUUAAUCGCUGGCGUGAAGGCCUUAUCUGGCUCAAACUACUUCUAUCUUUAUUCAUUUAGAGUUGAGUUAGACACAGACUAUAGCUAAAAUAUUGAAAUCCUAACACAUUACAUUUCAUUUAGCUGACGCUUUUAUCCAAAGCAGUGUACAUUAAGUGUAUUCAACCAUGAGGGUACAAACCCAGAACAACAAGAAUCAGAAAGUAAAAUACAACAUUAUGGCUCAUAAUCAAAACCUCUAUUCACAGAAUGAAUUGAAUGGAUUUAUACUUCCGGAACCACGCUGUUGAGCUCUAUUGGGUUGGUCUUUAUCACGCAGACCUGGCAACCCGGGGACCAACCCGGAAGCAGCUGCAGCGGCUCAGGGAGACGGGGCGACUUCAGUCCGUCACUGAAACAUGAUGGCUGCUUCAGAUGGGAAAGUUAGGAGCUCGUGUUUCGGGUGUUGGGGAGUCUGUGCGGAUAUUGUGAGGAGAAGCUAAUGCCUCUGAUCUGCAGCUCAGUCCCCCCGUCUGCUACACCAUGCCACUGGUCUUGGAUGCCGUGUGGGCGCUGUGGAGCAUUGGAGCUGGUAUCUAUGACUACUUCCAUACCAGCGCCAUGGAGGAGAGGAUCCACACGCUGGAGAACCUCCUCUCUAUCCACCAGUGUGUGAUCACAGCCCUGUCUGCAGGCUUCAUCCUGCUCAUGAUGUACAUACUGUGGAGAAAACACUAAAACCUCACCGACCUGGGCAACUGCUGCCACUAAAUGUUGUUUUGCCGCAGGACAUCUUUUUUCACCUAGGCUAAUUUCCUUCCAGGUGUUGGCACAGGGACAUUCUGAUUCAUACAGCUGUUCACACUUGAGGAUGACACAUGUUCAAUGAAGGUGACCAAGGUGAGGUCAGGAGCACUGAAGAGCAACUAAACCGAGGACUAUGGCUCCAUAAGGACAUCUUUACCCUGAAAACUUGUCGUUAGUUGAGCUGCGUCGGUCUGUCUGUCUUUUUUUGAAUGUUACACUUGCCUGAGUCAUCUACAGACCAGUGUCCACAUUAACUCGAAAUCACAGCUGCUUCUCAAGGCAACUUUAGCACUUUGACUUUUUUUUGCCGAGCUUGAAAGAAUUCAAUGUCCAGAGAUUUUACAACCUUUGAUUUGUUACAGAAGCAAAGUGUGACUAGUUGCCACUAAGUUGUCUAACCCUGUUAUCACAAAGUGGUUACUUUGUUUUCAAAGAUCAGUCAUGAUGUUUUUUUUUUACAUAUCAGCUCUUUUUUUUUGGUCUGAGUUGAUGUAAUUAUUUCACCAUCUUGAAGUCGUCAUUACAACUUUAUUAUUUCUGUCCAGUCUCCUCUGUUAUCUCUGCUUUGUUCUCUCCUCAGAUCUCCCAAAGUUGAGACGAAUAAUAAUAAUGAAAUCAACUUUGGAUGAACCGUAAAGUAGAUAAGUCUGUUAUCUGGAGCUAUUGAUGCAUUAAAGUUCACUGAGCAGUGUCUAAAGAAAAUAACCUCUCAGUGGAAUAUGUAUAGCUGCUUUCAGACAUAUACUGAAGAGAUUCAAGAGAUUUUGAUGAUAUAAGGGCUGACACGAGUUCCUGUUCUUUCCACAGUAGGAAUUAUAUUUUUUUUCAUAUGUGAAAGACAAACUCCAGAAAAUGUCCCAACCCAAGUUUCUGGACAUUCUCCAGAGUUUGUGUCUGACAAAAGCUUAUGUCCGGCAGAUGGUAAGCAGAUCGAGGAGAAUAUGUCGCGGCUGUUAAACUCUGGGUGUUUUACGGUUUUAACUACAGUAGAAUAAGAGAAGAUAAACACUAAAUUCCAACACUGGGAAACGAAUUAAUCUGUUGUGGUUCUUUUUCUUAUGCUGUCUAAUGGGUUUUGGAACUGCAGCUUGUGUGUGUGUGUUUGCGUGUAUUUUUAUCAACCAUGUUUCCAGGAUAUGUCAUUCAGGAAUCCUCUUGUUUUUCACACUGUUAAAAAAUGUGAUCAGAUGAUUUAAUCAGAUGUAUUGAUCACCUGCUAACUCUCUGUACUGCAUCUACUACUGGACAGACCUCUGCCAUGGCUUCUACUAAAGGGAAUAUGUUUGGAUAAUAAGCCAGAACUUUGCUUUUGCCCACUUGUUUGUAUUAAUUAAAUUUUUCUUUCCUGUCAUGUUAACUGCGUGGUUUUAAAUGGAAUAAAUUAAAUUAUGUUAAAUAA